rnacentral:rRNA from 1 species
GACGUAGGGCGCGAGCGUUGUCCGGAUUUAUUGGGCGUAAAGGGCGCGUAGGCGGCUUAACAAGUCACUUGUGAAAUCGUCCGGGCUUAACUCGGAACGGCCAAGUGAAACUGUCAAGCUAGAGUGCGGAAGGGGCAAUCGGAAUUCUUGGAUGUAGCGGUGAAAUGACGUAGAUAUCAAGAGGAACACCUGAGGUGAAGACGGGUUGCUGGGCCGACACUGACGCUGAUGCGCGAAAGCCAGGGAGCAAACGGG